rnacentral:rRNA from 1 species
UACGGAAGGCAGCAGUGGGGAAUAUUGCACAAUGGGCGCAAGCCUGAUGCAGCCAUGCCGCGUGUAUGAAGAAGGCCUUCGGGUUGUAAAGUACUUUCAGUCGUGAGGAAGGUGUUAAGGUUAAUAACCUUAGCAAUUGACGUUAGCGACAGAAGAAGCACCGGCUAACUCCGUGCCAGCAGCCGCGGUAAUACGGAGGGUGCGAGCGUUAAUCGGAAUUACUGGGCGUAAAGGGCACGCAGGCGGUUAAUUAAGUUGGAUGUGAAAUCCCCGGGCUUAACCUGGGAAUGGCAUUCAAGACUGGUUAGCUAGAGUCUUGUAGAGGGGGUAGAAUUCCGAUGUGUAGCGGUGAAAUGCGUAGAGAUGUGGAGGAAUACCGGUGGCGAAGGCGGCCCCUGGGACAAAGGCUGACGCUCAUGUGCGAAAGCGUGGGGAGCGAAACAGGGAUUAGAUACCC